CCUACGGGUGGCAGCAGUGAGGAAUAUUGGUCAAUGGGCGGAAGCCUGAACCAGCCAAGUAGCGUGCAGGAUGACGGCCCUACGGGUUGUAAACUGCUUUUAUACGGGAAUAACGCGCCUUACGUGUAGGGCUUUGCAUGUACCGUAUGAACAAGGACCGGCUAAUUCCGUGCCAGCAGCCGCGGUAAUACGGAGGGUACGGGCGUUAUCCGGAUUUAUUGGGUUUAAAGGGAGCGUAGGCGGCAUGUCAAGCGUGCUGUGAAAUGUCCGGGCUCAACCCGGGCCUUGCAGCGCGAACUGGCGAGCUUGAGUCCGCGGAAGGCAGGUGGAAUUCGUGGUGUAGCGGUGAAAUGCGUAGAUAUGACGAAGAACCCCGAUGGCGAAGGCAGCUUGCUGCAGCAGAACUGACGCUGAUGCGCGAAAGCGCGGGUAUCGAACAGGAUUAGAUACCCUGGUAGUC
rnacentral:rRNA from 1 species